AGAAAAUAUAAGUAAAGUGAGGGCUGCUAACUUAUCACUAUAGCGGUUUAAUUCCGUUUGUGUUUCUA
rnacentral:tRNA from 1 species